AGCUCUGAGGUGUUUCCACGCUAGAUUGCAAAUCUAGAGAAGCAGGUUGAACUCUGCCGGGGCUU
rnacentral:tRNA from 3 species